rnacentral:rRNA from 1 species
UACAGAGGGUGCGAGCGUUGUCCGGAAUCACUGGGCGUAAAGGGCGCGUAGGCGGUCUGGUAAGCGUGUGGUGAAAGCUCGGGGCUCAACCCCGAGUCGGCCGUGCGAACUGCGAGACUGGAGCAGAUCAGAGGCAGGCGGAAUUCUCGGUGUAGAGGUGAAAUUCGUAGAUAUCAAGAGGAACACCAGUGGCGAAGGCGAGUCCCUGGACAACACCUGACACUGAGGCACGAAAGCCGGGGGAGCAAACAGG